GAUGAACGCUGGCGGCGUGCCUAAUACAUGCAAGUCGAGCGAAUGGAUUAAGAGCUUGCUCUUAUGAAGUUAGCGGCGGACGGGUGAGUAACACGUGGGUAACCUGCCCAUAAGACUGGGAUAACUCCGGGAAACCGGGGCUAAUACCGGAUAACAUUUUGAACCGCAUGGUUCGAACUUGAAAGGCGGCUUCGGCUGUCACUUAUGGAUGGACCCGGGUCGCAUUAGCUAGUUGGUGAGGUAACGGCCCACCAAGGCAUCGAAGCGUAGCCGACCUGAGAGGGUGAUCGGCCACACUGGGACUGAGACACGGCCCAGACUCCUACGGGAGGCAGCAGUAGGGAAUCUUCCGCAAUGGACGAAAGUCUGACGGAGCAACGCCGCGUGAGUGAUGAAGGCUUUCGGGUCGUAAAACUCUGUUGUUAGGGAAGAACAAGUGCUAGUUGAAUAAGCUGGCACCUUGACGGUACCUAACCAGAAAGCCACGGCUAACUACGUGCCAGCAGCCGCCGUAA
rnacentral:rRNA from 1 species